AUUGAACGCUGGCGGCAUGCCUUACACAUGCAAGUCGAACGGCAGCACGGGAGCAAUCCUGGUGGCGAGUGGCGAACGGGUGAGUAAAGUAUCGGAACGAGCCCAGUCGUGGGGGAUAACGUAGCGAAAGUUACGCUAAUACCGCAUACGAUCUAUGGAUGAAAGCGGGGGAUCGCAAGACCUCGCGCGAUUGGAGCGGCCGAUAUCAGAUUAGGUAGUUGGUGGGGUAAAGGCUCACCAAGCCGACGAUCUGUAGCUGGUCUGAGAGGACGACCAGCCACACUGGGACUGAGACACGGCCCAGACUCCUACGGGAGGCAGCAGUGGGGAAUUUUGGACAAUGGGCGAAAGCCUGAUCCAGCCAUGCCGCGUGCAGGAUGAAGGCCUUCGGGUUGUAAACUGCUUUCGUACGGAACGAAAAGGUUUGGCCUAAUAAGCUGAGCUCAUGACGGUACCGUAAGAAUAAGCACCGGCUAACUACGUGCCAGCAGCCGCGGUAA
rnacentral:rRNA from 1 species